UAGCGAGUGGCGGCGAGCCUAUACAUGCAGUAGAACGCUGAAGAGAGGAGCUUGCUCUUCUUGGAUGAGUUGCGAACGGGUGAGUAACGCGUAGGUAACCUGCCUUGUAGCGGGGGAUAACUAUUGGAAACGAUAGCUAAUACCGCAUAACAAUGGAUGACACAUGUCAUUUAUUUGAAAGGGGCAAUUGCUCCACUACAAGAUGGACCUGCGUUGUAUUAGCUAGUAGGUGAGGUAAUGGCUCACCUAGGCGACGAUACAUAGCCGACCUGAGAGGGUGAUCGGCCACACUGGGACUGAGACACGGCCCAGACUCCUACGGGAGGCAGCAGUAGGGAAUCUUCGGCAAUGGGGGCAACCCUGACCGAGCAACGCCGCGUGAGUGAAGAAGGUUUUCGGAUCGUAAAGCUCUGUUGUAAGUCAAGAACGGGUGUGAGAGUGGAAAGUUCACACUGUGACGGUAGCUUACCAGAAAGGGACGGCUAACUACGUGCCAGCAGCCGCGGUAAUACGUAGGUCCCGAGCGUUGUCCGGAUUUAUUGGGCGUAAAGCGAGCGCAGGCGGUUUGAUAAGUCUGAAGUUAAAGGCUGUGGCUCAACCAUAGUUCGCUUUGGAAACUGUCAAACUUGAGUGCAGAAGGGGAGAGUGGAAUUCCAUGUGUAGCGGUGAAAUGCGUAGAUAUAUGGAGGAACACCGGUGGCGAAAGCGGCUCUCUGGUCUGUAACUGACGCUGAGGCUCGAAAGCGUGGGGAGCGAACAGGAUUAGAUACCCUGGUAGUCCACGCCGUAAACGAUGAGUGCUAGGUGUUGGAUCCUUUCCGGGAUUCAGUGCCGCAGCUAACGCAUUAAGCACUCCGCCUGGGGAGUACGACCGCAAGGUUGAAACUCAAAGGAAUUGACGGGGGCCCGCACAAGCGGUGGAGCAUGUGGUUUAAUUCGAAGCAACGCGAAGAACCUUACCAGGUCUUGACAUCCCGAUGCUAUUUCUAGAGAUAGAAAGUUACUUCGGUACAUCGGUGACAGGUGGUGCAUGGUUGUCGUCAGCUCGUGUCGUGAGAUGUUGGGUUAAGUCCCGCAACGAGCGCAACCCCUAUUGUUAGUUGCCAUCAUUCAGUUGGGCACUCUAGCGAGACUGCCGGUAAUAAACCGGAGGAAGGUGGGGAUGACGUCAAAUCAUCAUGCCCCUUAUGACCUGGGCUACACACGUGCUACAAUGGUUGGUACAACGAGUUGCGAGUCGGUGACGGCGAGCUAAUCUCUUAAAGCCAAUCUCAGUUCGGAUUGUAGGCUGCAACUCGCCUACAUGAAGUCGGAAUCGCUAGUAAUCGCGGAUCAGCACGCCGCGGUGAAUACGUUCCCGGGCCUUGUACACACCGCCCGUCACACCACGAGAGUUUGUAACACCCGAAGUCGGUGAGGUAACCUUUGGAGCCAGCCGCCUAAGGUGGGACCAGAAGUGGG
rnacentral:rRNA from 1 species